rnacentral:rRNA from 1 species
GAUGAACGCUGGCGGCGUGCUUAACACAUGCAAGUCGAACGGUGAACACGGAGCUUGCUCUGUGGGAUCAGUGGCGAGCGGGUGAGUAACACGUGAGCAACCUGCCCCUGACUCUGGGAUAAGCGCUGGAAACGGCGUCUAAUACUGGAUACGAGUAGCGGCCGCAUGGUCAGUUACUGGAAAGAUUUUUUGGUUGGGGAUGGGCUCGCGGCCUAUCAGCUUGUUGGUGAGGUAAUGGCUCACCAAGGCGUCGACGGGUAGCCGGCCUGAGAGGGUGACGGGCCAAACUGGGACUGAGACACGGCCCAGACUCCUACGGGGGGCAGCAGUGGGGAAUAUUGCACAAUGGGCGAAAGCCUGAUGCAGCAACGCCGCGUGAGGGAUGACGGCCUUCGGGUUGUAAACCUCUUUUAGCAGGGAAGAAGCGAAAGUGACGGUACCUGCAGAAAAAGCGCCGGCUAACUACGUGCCAGCCGCCGCGGUAA